CUCUCUGUCUCUCCUGCCACCAUGUGAAGAAGGUGCUUGUUUCCCCUUUGCCUUCCGCCAUGAGUGUAAGUUUCCUGAGGUCUCCCAGUCAUACUGCUGGUUAAGCCUGCAGAACGGUGAGUCCAUAAAACCUCUUUUCUUCAUAAAUUACCCAGUCUCAGGUAGUUCUUUAUAGCAGUGUGAGAAUGGACUAAUACACUAAUACAUUUCCUCUUUCUGAAACUGCAUGUGCACAUUUGUUAAAAAGGCUGGGUAAAAACUUGUUUUGAAAUUCUGGUUUUGUGGGGUGGGUUUGAUAAAAGGAUACAUGCUCACCACAAAACCUGCGAGGAAACCUAGGGAAACCAGAAAUUCCAAAAAGAGAUCCCUGGGAGUUGGCCUUGAAUUGCACCUGGCUUCCAUCACGGUCAGCCUUGGCCUCAACAGGAGAAACCCAUUCAUUGCGAGACGCGGACUCUGCUUGAAUCCGGGUCCUGCAGCUGAGAGAAUGGGCUGCAUUUUUUUUCUCGGCUCCUCUUCCUUUCUGAAAAGGCCUCCCGCAGAUCCAUCUGGCUGCCUCACCCCCGAUGACCUUUCCAUCCUGUUCCUUUCCAAAUUCCCAGGUGUACUUGUUUGAAAUGUAUCUGGCCCAAUCGCUGAGCGUCCGCGCUGCAUUUCUCCAAACUGCCCAGCAGGGGGCGGUGCUACCUCGGCUCCGCGCAGCCACGGCUUCCCGCUGGCGAACCAAGGGCGCGGAAUCUGGAGAGGGCGAGGAACAUCUUUCCUCCCACCUGUCCCCCGCCAAGCCUGCCAGACCCGUCUCAUCCGUGCUGCUGCUUCUGAAAAUCAGAAGAGUGAGGAUGAAAUAAAGUCUUCAUAAAGGAAAACCA
rnacentral:lncRNA from 1 species